UCCAUCUCUCGAAACAAACGAAGAAAAUAAAAAGAAGAGGAGUAAAGAAGACAAGUGGAGUGGGGUUGUUCCUCCUCCUGAUGUUUCUCUUGAUGCUUUUCAUCCUCUUGCUUUUUU
rnacentral:ribozyme from 13 species